CUCGAUAUCUUCAAUUAGUCAGAGGAAAACCAGUGACACAUUUCAGAAACUUAUGUGACUGCGUGUUGCUCUGACCAAUGAAGUUUAUCGAG
rnacentral:pre_miRNA from 14 species